rnacentral:rRNA from 1 species
UACGUAGGGGGCGAGCGUUGUCCGGAAUUACUGGGCGUAAAGGGCGCGUAGGCGGCCCGUUAAGUCCGCUGUGAAAGACCGAGGCUCAACCUCGGGGUGUCAGCGGAGACUGUCGGGCUGGAGUCUCGGAGAGGGAUGCGGAAUUCCACGUGUAGCGGUGAAAUGCGUAGAGAUGUGGAGGAACACCAGUGGCGAAGGCGACUUUCUGGACCGUAACUGACGCUGAGGCGCGAAAGCGUGGGGAGCAAACAGG